CUACGGGAGGCUGCAGGCGAGAAAACUUUGCAAUGUGCGAAAGCACGACAAGGUUAAUCCGAGUGGUUUCUGCUAAAGGAACCUUUUGACAGUCCUAGAAACACUGUUGAAUAAGGGGUGGGCAAGUUCUGGUGUGCAGCCGCCGCGGUAAAACCAGCACCUCAAGUGGUCAGGAUGAUUAUUGGGCCUAAAGCAUCCGUAGCCGGCUCUGUUAGUUUUCGGUUAAAUCUGUACGCUCAACGUACAGGCUGCCGGGAAUACUGCAGAGCUAGGGAGUGGGAGAGGUAGACGGUACUCGGUAGGAAGGGGUAAAAUCCUUUGAUCUAUUGAUGACCACCUGUGGCGAAGGCGGUCUACCAGAACACGUCCGACGGUGAGGGAUGAAAGCUGGGGGAGCAAACCGGAUUAGAUACCCGGGUAGUC
rnacentral:rRNA from 1 species